UACGUAGGGUGCAAGCGUUCAUCGGAAUUACUGGGCGUAAAGCGUACGCAGGCGGCUUUGCAAGACAGGUGUGAAAUCCCCGGGCCUAACCUGGGAACUGCAUUUGUGACUGCAUGGCUUGAGUUUGUCAGAGGGGGGUGGAAUUCCACGUGUAGCAGUGAAAUGCGCAGAUAUCAGGAGGAACACCGGUGGCGAAGGCGGCUCUCUGGGCCUUACCUGACGCUGAGGAGCGAAAGCUGGGGGAGCGAACAGG
rnacentral:rRNA from 1 species